GUCUUGGAGCUCUGUGAUGAGUUUGGAGGGGGUGAUAGCAUUGAAUGCCAAGCUCUAGUUAAUGAACAGCA